AUUGGUUACGGAGAAAAAAGAAGAUGGAUUCGUAUUCAUAUACAUGAGAAUUAUAUAGGAACAAGAAAAAUCUUGGAUUCCUUUUUAUAAAAAUAGUAAUAAAUUUCUUUGGAAUAAUAAGACUGUUCAAAUUCCAAUACUCAUGAAGAAAGAGUCGUAAUAAAUGCAAAGAAGAGGGAUCUUUCACCCAAUAGCGAAGGGUUUGAACCAAUUUUUCUAGAUGGAUGGGGUAAGGUAUUAAUAUAUCUGACACAUAAUUUAAAUGUGGAAAUUUGUCCUCUAAAAAAGGAAAUAUUGAAUGAAUUGAUCGUAAUUUAUGAGAUUUUACUAUCUCUGACCUUUCUAAAUCUAAAGAAGAUACUAAUCGUAGGGAAAAUGGAAUUUCCACAAUAACUGCAAAGCCCUCUGAUAUCAUUUGAUAAUACAAAUUCUUGUUGUACCUAAAAAAUAGAUUUUGGUUAGAAUCAUUAGCAGAAAUAAUCAAAUGAUUCUGUUGAUACAUUCGAGUAAUUAAACGUUUUACAAUUAAUAAACUAGAUUUAUUGUCAUAACCUACAUUUUCCAACAAAAUAGAUCUAUUUAAACUAUGAUCAUGAGCGAAUGUAUAAAUAUACUCCCGAAAGAUAAAUGGGUAUAGGAAGUCGUUUUUUCGAGAUCUAUCUAAUUCUAAAUAUCUUUCCUCCAUUUUUUUUUGUUUUAUUUUAAAUUCAAUUUGAUUGAAGCAAGGAUAGAGGAUUUUUAUUGGAUUAUUAAAUGAUACAUAGUGCGAUAUAGUAAAAACAAAGUAGUAUAAUAAGAAAAGAAUAGAUACCUCGGAAAUAGGUAAACUCAUCAACGGACUGCCCAUCCCCUCUUUUUUUCCAUCUAAUUGGUUUAUGUGUAUUAUAGGAUAGGAUAAAAAGAUAAUUAGAAAUCCUUUAUUUUUUCAAGCCGAUCGCUCUUUUGAUUUUGGGAAAAAAUCUCGUUAUCAAUAUACUCUUUCUUCUACACAUGCAUCUCCCCCUCAUAGUGGAGAAUAACUAAUAGUUAGGACUUAUUAAAAGAAAAUCGGAAAUCUGCUCAUAGAAAUUCCCGCAUUAGGUACUAAUUUAUUUUUAACGUCUAAUUAGAUCGGAUAAUCAUUCAAAUUAAGAACGUAAGCUCGUUGCUUUUUUGUUUCCCUAUAAUUGGAACCGUAGGAGUCUAUCCAUUUAUUUACUCGACCCAAUUUUGAAUUCAUUUUUUUAUGUUCCGCACCAAGAAUUCAAAUAAAGUUUGGACCGAUCCGGCAAAAAUUAAAUAUUCUCAGAAUUCUCCAUUGAUACGACAUGCUGUUUUUUCCAGUCAUUCCUUUCAGGAUCAGUCGUGGUCUUACAAACUAUACCGAUGGUAUGGACGAAUCCCUUUCUUCAUACAAAUGUGUAAAAGAUAUUAGCCGCACUUAAAAGCCGAGUACUCUACCAUUGAGUUAGCAACCCCCCUCCCCCCCCCCCCUACUAAAAAAAAUUAGAUUAUGUAGAUACAAUCGGAAUCAAAAUAAAAAAUAAAUAAAGAGAUUGAAUCAUACGACACAAUUAAAACAUUAAACUAGCAAAAAAUUAAAAGAAAUGAAAUAUAAAAAUUUCUAAUCAAUUCUGAACAAAAAAAAGAAGAGAUCAAAAAAUAUAGAUAUAGAUAAAAUAAAAUUUUAUAGAUCACCUCUUGUCUUUUACGCUAUCUAUUCUUACUAUUCGCUAUCCAUUCUUAUAUUUUUUAUAUUUAUGUAUUAUACUUAGUAUUCUACUUAGAUUUUUUUAUUAUUUAUUAUACGUAUAUAUAUAUGUUUAUACGUAUAAUACGUAUAUAUGUAUACGUUUUUUAUUUUUUAUUAUUUUUAUAUAAAUUUUAUAUAAAUAUAUAAUCAAAUUUAUAUAAAUAUAUAUAUAAAUAUAUAACUAUAACAUUUUUUUAUACAUUUUUUUCAAUCAAAAAAACUUUUGUAUCACAACAAAUCCAAGAAACCCAUCACCUGAAUGAAGAAAAAACCAAAUCCAUGGAACGGGGAUAAAUAGAUCCACAGGUAAGAUCCAAUUACCUCAGAUCGGAUUAUAUUUAUUUGAUACACUGUUGUCAAUAUGAAUGUGAAUAUAUUGAAAAAAAAAAUACACAAUGAAGAAAAAAAAUAGGUAUAAAAUAGGUAUGAAUAGAGUAUGAAUAGAGUAUGAAUAGAGUAUGAAUAGAGUAUGAAUAGAAUAAGAGAAGGGGGGAUAGUAGAGAAAAGGUUAUAGAAAGCUAUAUAUGUAUACGAAUUACCCACACCCUGCAUUUCAUUAAGUAAAUUGCGUUUGAUUAAGGCGAAGUUCCGUAAAAACCCCCGCCUUCCUUAAAAUAUCACGAACAGUUCCUGUAGGUUGAGCGCCUUUUUCAAGGAAAUAUAGAAUAGCAGGAACGUUUAAAUAGGUUUGAUUUUUUAUCGGAUCAUAAAAACCCACUUUCCGAAGAUCUCUUCCUUCUCUUCGGGAUCGAACAUCAAUUGCAACGAUUCGAUAAACGGUUCAUUGGGAUAGAGGUAGAAAAAAAAAGACCCCCCCCUGUAGAAACGUAUAAGAAGUUUUCUCCUCGUACGGCUCGAGAAAAAUGAUUCGAAGUUCUAUAUAUGUAUAGAAUUAUAGUGUCAAAUAGAUCCAUAAAAUCAUCAAAUCAAUUAAACUAUGAUUUAAGUCCCUUUUCUUCUUAUUUUUGUUUACCAAAAAAUAAAAAAAUCAUCUGUACCCUCCUAACUCAAGUUGGAUAACUUUCAAAUAGCUCAAAGGGAACCCUUUAGGCAUUUCAUUUAUUGAGUGAUCUCUAAUCCCCUUUCUUUUUGUUUCUUUCUUUUAGAAUCUAUUUUGAUUCUUCAUUCUAAUCUAAUUGUUUUGUUGAGACAAUUGAAAACGGUAUUUACUUGUUCCAGGAUCCUUUAUCUUUGCCUUGAAUCGUUGGGUUUAGACAUUACUCCGGUGAUCUUUAAUCGUUUCAAAAUGGCAGCAACAUACCACUUUUUUUGAUUUUUUUCUAUCAAAGAAUCGGACUAGCGGUUGAUUCCUGCGUGAUACACUUUAUUUUUUAAUCAAAAGAAUUUUGGCAAUUCCAACAAACUUUUUCUUGGAUUUUAAACUUGCUCGAAUUUGAUUCUUUAUAUUUCGAUAUCACAAAUAUACUUACGAAGUUGUUCCAACUUAUUGAUUAGUACUAACCCUAGAUUCUUGCCCCUAAGAAAGAAAUCAAUCCUUUCUACUCGAGCUCCACCAUGUACUAUUUACAUUACAACCCAACAAAAAACGAAGGCUCUAGUGUAUAACAGAACAAACGAUGUCGAGCUAAGAGCACCCUCAUUCCUAUAUACUAUUGCUAUAUGCUAUAUAAUAUUAAUAGGAUGGAUGUAAGAAUCCACAGCCGAUCGUGUCCUUCAAGUCGCACGUUGCUUUCUACCACAUCGUUUCAAACGAAGUUUUACCAUAACAUUCCUUGAGUUUUGAACUAGUAUGUAAUUGAUUCAAUUAUGGAGAAUCGUGAAUAGUCAUUGAUUGAACCGGUACAUAGUGAUCUAAAAAUUUAACUUCUAUUGGUUAAUUUAUGAUAUUGGUUAAUUUAUGAAGAAGUGUCAGAAAGAAUUUAAUUUAACUUAACCCCAUAUUUUAUUGUAUGAAUAUUUUUUGAUUUACAAUUCUAAUAUUAGAAAUAAGACAAAGAAAUAAGAUCUUUUUGAAUCUUCAAGUGACUCCAUAGGACAGAUUCGCCUAUCUCACAUUUCUUCGAGUCCCAAGGACUCAUAAAAAAUCCUUAAAAAGAUUUAAUUUUAAGAUUUCCUAUCUCGAUAUCAUUAUUUGAAUAAAAUUUUGUUUUACAGUAAGAAACAUAUUUUCUCAUCAUAAGAGAAAAAGAAUCCCAUAUUCAAAUUCGGAUUAAACCAUCAAUGAUUUAAAACAAAUAAAUAGGUUUAAAAUAUCCAAUUUUUUUUAGUACAGUAGUGGAUAAAAAAGACUGAUGUAAGGAAAAUUUUAAGUUGUUAUUCUUUGAUACUGAGUGAUAAAAUCAGUAUCGAAAUACUAGAGGGUUAUCGGAAUUAAUUAUGGAUAUUCUAAGUAUUAAUUAUGGAUAGUCUAAGUUAAAUAUUGUAAUUACGUAAGGAAUGACAAUUUUUUUUUACAUUCCAAAAAUAGAAACAAAACAAAGGUGUUAAUAAAAAAAACGCUAAGAAUACAUACAUAUAAGCAUUUCUUCAUUUUAUGAGUAGUUUAUUUGACUCGACUUGAGUCUUUUUAAAAUUUUUUUCCUAAAGUAAAGCGAAUAGGAUAUAUGAAUCAACCCCGUCUCGAUUUUUAGAUAGAUUUAGAAUUAUUCAUUAAAGUUAAAGCCAAAGACAAAAUAUCUAAAAAUGAGGUUAACUAAAAGAAAAUACAUAUGUUCCAUAUGUAUUUUCUUUGUUUGUUAAUGAGAUUUUAACAGGCGUAGGCGUUGAAAUUGAUAUCUUCCAUUGCUAAUGAACUCCUAUCUACUUCCCCAAUUAUAUGUUAUAUGAGGUUAUAUGAGGGAUGAUGAAUCAAAUAAGGAAGGAUCCCAUUUUUUUAUAUUUCUAUAUAUUAUAGAAUAGAAUAUUUUUUAUAUUUUUCUAUAUUUUUUUAUAUAGAAUAGCUGGGACGGAAGGAUUCGAACCUCCGAAUAGCGGGACCAAAACCCGUUGCCUUACCGCUUGGCCACGCCCCAUUUAUAUUUUCUAUUCAACACUAAUAAAAACUAAUAUUGGUAUUGGUUCUUCGUCAAUUCCCAUCAAAAUAUUUAGAAAGUAUAUUAUAGCUUGUUGUUCAGAUUUUUGUAUAUGUAGAUAUAGAAUUAAACUGAAUUUAUUGAUCAUAAUAUAUAAUUCAAUUAAGAUAUUGUAUAAAAAAUAUGAUUUCCUCUAUUCUUUUUUGAUUUGAGAAUUGAAGGAUUUUUGAUUGGGUGAGUUUAAUAAAGAAGGGUUUUUGGUCUACCUUGCUUUAUUUUCUACCAAUUUUUAUAUCAAUAAUAUAUUAAUAACUCAAUCAAAAUACAAUUAUCUUCAAAAAAAAAAAUGCUUGUUAUGUUUAAUUUUUUUAGUUUAAUUUGUAUCUGUUUUAAUUCUGCCAUUUAUUCAAGCAAUUUUUUCUUUACAAAAUUGCCCGAAGCCUACGCCUUUUUGAAUCCAAUCGUAGAUGUUAUGCCAGUAAUCCCUGUACUCUUUUUUCUAUUAGCCUUUGUUUGGCAAGCUGCUGUAAGUUUUCGAUGAGAUCUUUAAUAUUGUUCUAGAAUAAUUCAUGAUUUAUUCAAAAAAAAAUUAUAACAAUUGAUAAGAUCAGAUAAGUCUUAUAGUAUAAACUCUUAGUUCAAACAUUGAAGUUAUUGUAUAAACGCGAGAAUUCUGGAUCAUCCCACUUUUUCUCAUUCUGAACUUUUUUUUCCAUUCCAGAUCCUAUUAGAGCUCUAAUUGUAGUUAUGAAAAAAAACAUCUAAAUUUAGGUAUGAAAGAAAUUUUUUGGCAAUGAAAGACCUGACUCUUAUUACAAAUGAAUUUAACAAAAGAAAAAGUCUUUUCUAUUUCUAGAAACCACUCCAUUUCUUGGUGUUAAAAUAGAAUAUGUGGUAUAAAAAUAGAGAAUCUAUUUUUUUUCUAAACCAAAAAAAGAUCUUGGAGAUUUUAUAAUGCUUACUCUCAAACUCUUUGUUUACACAGUAGUGAUAUUCUUUGUUUCUCUCUUCAUCUUUGGAUUUUUAUCUAAUGAUCCAGGACGUAAUCCUGGACGUGAAGAAUAAAAAAAUAAGGGUUUUUCUUGAUUUUUAAAUGUUCUUAGCAUUUUUUUAUCUAUUCUACAUUUUUAAAUAUUAAAGAAAACAAAAAAAGGUUCGCUAAAUUUUAAAGAAAAGAUAAAAAAAAAAUUCCAAAGUCAUCACCGAAACCGGAAAGAGAGGGAUUCGAACCCUCGGUACGAAUAACUCGUACAACGGAUUAGCAAUCCGACGCUUUAGUCCACUCAGCCAUCUCUCCCGAUUGAAAAAGGAUAAUUAAUUACUAUGUUACAUUACACAACAAGUAAGGCUUGAAAAAAGGCUUUUUUCUCUCUUUAUUACUUUCAUACUUUCAUAAUUUUCUAUUUUCCUAUUUUUCUUUUAUUAUUUUAUAUUUAUUAUAUUUAUUAUAUUUAUCUAUUAUUAUAUAUUAUUUCUUUCUAUAUUAUUAUAUUUUUAUUAUUUUAUAUAUUAGUAUAUAAUUAUAUUAGUAUAUAAUUUAGUGUAUAAUACAACUAUAAAAUAAAUAUAAAAUAUAUAAAACUUUCAUCAACAAUUCUUCCAUUUUCAUUUAGAUAUUUAGAUAAAGUAAGGGCUCUAAAAAGACAUCUCCAACUUAAUAUUCCAAUCAAUAUAUUAUAUCAAUCAAUAUUAUAUAUAUUGAUUGAUAUAAUAUAAAAAAUAUCAAAUAAUCUUUUUUUUUUUAUUUUUAAUAUUUGAUUUAUAAAAUAAAAGAUUAAAAAUAAUUUAAAUAAAAGAAUAAUAUAAUAAAAUAUUUUAAUAUAUUAAAAAUGAAAAUAUAUUAAAAAUUGUCUUUCUCGACAAAAGGUUCAUUUAUAUACAAUAAUCGCAUCGUAGCGGGUAUAGUUUAGUGGUAAAAGUGUGAUUCGUUGUAUUAAUUCUAAUAGUUAAGGGAUCCCUCGGCCCAUAUUCCGAUGAAAAACUGUAUUUCUUAAAAAGAUUUAAUCCUUUACCUCUCAAUGAAAAAUUCGAGGAAAAAUAAACAUUCUCGCGAUUUGUAUCCAAAAAUCAAUUAGAAAUUGAAAAAUUGGAUUAUGAAAUUACGAAACAUAAUUUUUGUUAAUUGGAUCAAUACUUUCAAUUUUUUGAGUAUGGGUAAAGGAUCUAUGGAAAAAGACAGAAAAGUUUAUUUCUAAUCGUAACUAAAUCUUCAAUUUGUUCUUUGUUUUGUAUAGUCGAGAUUGAAGCAAAAUAAGCAUUAAAUGAUGACUUUGGUUUACUAUAGACAUCGACAUCUUGUUUUAGCUCGGUGGAAACAAAAUGCUUUUCCUAAGGAUUCUCUCAAAUAGAAAUAGAGAACGAAGUAACUAGAAAAAUUAUUAAAAUCCCACUCGUCUAGAGGGAUCAUCUAGAAAGCGCCUUGUUUUGAAUGCAUUAAGACAGAAAAGCUGACAUAGAUGUUAUGACUCGAAUUUUUUUUCGCUUAAACCUUAUAGCUGGAAAUUUUUCCAUAUUCCAUAAAGGAGCCGAAUGAAAUCAAAGUUUCAUGUUCGGUUUUGAAUUAGAGACGUUAAAGAUGAUGAAUCAACGUCGACUAUAACCCCUAGCCUUCCAAGCUAACGAUGCGGGUUCGAUUCCCGCUACCCGCUAUAUAUUCUUUAAAAUCUAUAUUCUCUAAAAAAUAUAUAAAAUAUUAUAUAUAAUAUUAUUUAUAUAUAUAAUUAGAAUAUAUAAUAUUUAAAUAGGAAUAUGUUUCUAUUUAAAUAGUCUAUUUAAAUUAUUAAAUUAGACUACAUA
rnacentral:lncRNA from 1 species